rnacentral:rRNA from 1 species
CAGUAGCCGCGGUAAUACGGAGGGAGCUAGCGUUGUUCGGAGUUACUGGGCGUAAAGCGCACGUAGGCGGCUUUGUAAGUCAGAGGUGAAAGCCUGGAGCUCAACUCCAGAACUGCCUUUGAGACUGCAUCGCUUGAAUCCAGGAGAGGUGAGUGGAAUUCCGAGUGUAGAGGUGAAAUUCGUAGAUAUUCGGAAGAACACCAGUGGCGAAGGCGGCUCACUGGACUGGUAUUGACGCUGAGGUGCGAAAGCGUGGGGAGCAAACAGGAUUAGAUACCCCGGUAGUCCCUGUCUCUUAUAC